rnacentral:tRNA from 2 species
GGCGACGUGGCCAAGUGGACAAGGCAAGGCUCUGCAAAAGCCUGAUCAUCGGUUCGAUUCCGAUCGUCGCCUC